rnacentral:rRNA from 1 species
AAUGAACGUUGGCGGCGUGGAUUAGGCAUGCAAGUCGAGCGAGAACCGUAGCAAUACGGGGAAAGCGGCAAACGGGGUAGGAAUACGUCGGUACGUACCCCCAGGUCUGGGAUAGCCACGGGAAACUGUGGGUAAUACCGGAUAAUCUCUUCUUUCGGAAGGAAGUUGAGCAAAGGUGAGACUCCGUCUGGGGAGCGGCUGACGCAGUAUUAGCUAGUUGGUAGGGUAAUGGCCUACCAAGGCGAAGAUGCUUAGGGGGUGUGAGAGCAUGGCCCCCACCACUGGCACUGAGACACUGGCCAGGCACUUACGGGUGGCUGCAGUCGAGAGUCUUCGGCAAUGGGCGCAAGCCUGACCGAGCGACGCCGCGUGCGGGAUGAAGGCCCUUGGGUUGUAAACCGCUGUCAGGGGGGAUGAAAUGCAUGGGGGUACUCCCCCAUGUUUGACAGAGCCCCAGAGGAAGCACGGGCUAAGUUCGUGCCAGCCGCCGCAGUAACAC